rfam:Gossypium arboreum cultivar AKA8401 contig_58039_1, whole genome shotgun sequence.
AACCCAUGAUGAGGGAACCUUCACAGAAGAUCCUUAAAUCUCUCCCAUGCAUCAUACAGUGUCUCAAGUUCAAAUUGAACAAAAGAAGAGAUGUCAUUCCUCAAUUU